AACGAACGCUGGCGGCAGGCUUAACACAUGCAAGUCGAGCGCCCCGCAAGGGGAGCGGCAGACGGGUGAGUAACGCGUGGGAAUCUACCCAUCUCUACGGAAUAACGCAUGGAAACGUGUGCUAAUACCGUAUACGUCCUUCGGGAGAAAGAUUUAUCGGAGAUGGAUGAGCCCGCGUUGGAUUAGCUAGUUGGUGGGGUAAAGGCCUACCAAGGCGACGAUCCAUAGCUGGUCUGAGAGGAUGAUCAGCCACACUGGGACUGAGACACGGCCCAGAAUCCUACGUGAGGCAGCAGUGGUGAAUAUUGGACACAGGGGGCAAGCCUGAACCAGCCAUGCGGCGUGAGUGAUGAAGGCCCUAGUGUUGUAAAGCUCUUUCACCGGUGAAGAUAAUGACGGUAACCGGAGAAGAAGCCCCGGCUAACUUCGUGCCAGCAGCCGCCGCCGUAA
rnacentral:rRNA from 1 species